rnacentral:rRNA from 1 species
AUUGAACGCUGGCGGCAGGCCUAACACAUGCAAGUCGAGCGGACGAAGGGAGCUUGCUCCUGGAUUCAGCGGCGGACGGGUGAGUAAUGCCUAGGAAUCUGCCUGGUAGUGGGGGAUAACGUCCGGAAACGGGCGCUAAUACCGCAUACGUCCUGAGGGAGAAAGUGGGGGAUCUUCGGACCUCACGCUAUCAGAUGAGCCUAGGUCGGAUUAGCUAGUUGGUGGGGUAAAGGCCUACCAAGGCGACGAUCCGUAACUGGUCUGAGAGGAUGAUCAGUCACACUGGAACUGAGACACGGUCCAGACUCCUACGGGAGGCAGCAGUGGGGAAUAUUGGACAAUGGGCGAAAGCCUGAUCCAGCAAUGCCGCGUGUGUGAAGAAGGUCUUCGGAUUGUAAAGCACUUUAAGUUGGGAGGAAGGGCAGUAAGUUAAUACCUUGAUGUUUUGACGUUACCAACAGAAUAAGCACCGGCUAACUUCGUG